AAUUACAUAGAGAAUCUCUCCUCUCCCGUGGAGAUUUGUAAGCCUUCCGCAUAGCAAAAAGUCAUCAUCUCCAAGUGGUGGCUGCAAGUUUCUAUCCUCCACGUAUGUGAUCAAACCUGGCUCUAUAUUCGUGGUCAAAUCAUAACAAGUGGUUUAUUAAUUCAAUAACAAGUGAAGCUCUCGAAUUGACGGUUGUGAGGAGAAGAAUCAGUGAAUUAUAUCUUAUGAUUUGAAAUUGUCAAAGAUUGUAACUAAUGUAAAUUAUUGAAAUACAAA
rnacentral:lncRNA from 1 species